UACGUAGGGGGCUAGCGUUGUCCGGAUUUAUUGGGCGUAAAGAGCGUGUAGGCGGCCAUGUAGGUCCGGUGUGAAAACUCGAGGCUUAACCUCGAGAUGUCAUCGGAAACCAUUUGGCUAGAGUCCGGAAGAGGAGAGUGGAAUUCCUGGUGUAGCGGUGAAAUGCGCAGAUAUCAGGAGGAACACCGGUGGCGAAGGCGGAUCUCUGGGCCUUACCUGACGCUGAGGCGCGAAAGCUAGGGGAGCGGACAGG
rnacentral:rRNA from 1 species